CUCCUAUCCAUGCUGAUAGAGGUAGAUCCUCAUCAGCCAUGUUGGAAAUCCCAGCACUUGGCAAGUGAACCUCUUUUGUUGUGGGGUCAUCACUUGUCCUUCCUCUCAAUGCAUCUUGAGAGAGCCUCAUCUACCUGCCAGCUCCAUCCAUUUCUUUUUUGACAAAUCAGCUUCAUUACUCAUACGGUCUUUUACAACUUCUUUAUCAGCAAGACCUCCAGCCCCAUUUUGCUCCUUACCUAGAAAGCAUAAUAGUAAGUUUACAUGUACACCC